CUUUGAACUUGCAGAUUUAUAGCCCUGAAUACUAUGAACAUUUAAUUUCAGAGAUUCUGAUUGUGGCCUGAAGGGGAAGCCUAUCCACAGUGGAACAGGGAGCUCCAAGUUUCAUUUGCUGCACCGGCUUCCAGGAGACAGUGCCUGACCUUUUUAACCCAUCUGAACCUCAGACCAAGUGAAGACCUCCCUUUUAGACCCCAAGACCGUCACUAUGUCCCAUGAGGACGAGGGCUUCGUUGUACAGUACCAACGCAGGAAGAACCAGUGGCCAAGGGACAAUUCGUACCCUGUCCAUAGAUAUCAAGUCUACAAAAGAGAUGUGCUUCCCCAGUUUGAACAGGAAGAUGUGUGGAGAGAAGGAAUAGGUUUUCCUCUAUACCAGCAUCCAGGUGAGCUCUAAAGACCUGUGCAUUAGAAGAGGGGUCUCAUGAUAUAGUAAGUGCUUGAAUAUUUU
rnacentral:lncRNA from 1 species